UACGUAGGGCGCAAGCGUUGUCCGGAAUUAUUGGGCGUAAAGAGCUCGUAGGCGGCCUGUUGCGUCCGCUGUGAAAUCCCGGGGCUCAACCCCGGGCCUGCAGUGGAUACGGGCUGGCUAGAGGCAGGCAGGGGAGAACGGAAUUCCUGGUGUAGCGGUGAAAUGCGCAGAUAUCAGGAGGAACACCGGUGGCGAAGGCGGUUCUCUGGGCCUGCACUGACGCUCAUGCACGAAAGCGUGGGGAGCAAACAGG
rnacentral:rRNA from 1 species